UCCUGUCCUUAGCAGCGCAGUUUCCAUACCAGACCGUGAUUGAGCUGGUGAGGUCCUCGCUGAUGUGGGUCCCGAGGAAAUUUAAAGGUUUUCACCCUGUCCACCUCUGUCUCCCCUAUGUACAGAGAUGUCUCUCCAGAGAGUGGUGAGGACGGCGGAAAAGAUCAUCAGGACUCCUCUUCCUCCUAUCCAGGAGAUCGCAAAAAGCCGCUGCCUGACCAGGGCUCAGAAAAUCUGCAAAGACUCCUCCCACCCCCACCAAGGACUGUUUUCACUGCUGGACUCUAGAAAGAGGUUCCGCAGCCUCCGAAGCAGAACCUCCAGGUUCUGUAACAGCUUUUUCCCUCAGGCCGUGAGAUUCUUGAACGCAUCAUAAUUAAAGAAUCCCCUCAACUCCCCCCAAAAUGGAUUAA